CAAUUCAUGAAGUUUCAUCGUAUUUUGACUAAUGUUAGUAGUUUCCAAAUGAUUUUAAAUGAGAAUACAUUUUUUGUGAAUAUCCUUUUCAUCUAUAUCCUUCUCAUAGUGUCCCAUCUCAGAAAGCAAGGCGCUCGGCGGUGGUUUCGCAGCGUGGACACGUGCGGCGGGAGGUAACGAGGAUUGCUGGGGAUGUUGAGGUAGAGGAUUCGUUGAGAAAGUUGCUUUUCUUGCGGAAAAUGGUAAGUAUUUAGUUUUUACUAUUUUUUUUUAGUGUAGAGGGAGAGCCUGUGCGUCAGAGUCAAAGCCUGAGACUUUGGUGAAGAGCACUAAAUUGCAAACAUUUCCUUGGGUUUGGAGGCAGGUUCAGCAGCCCACAAUUUCUCUCAUUUAGAGGAGGAUAAUCCAAGUCUUUCGAGCACACGUUUUGAAGCAGCUGGAUGGUGAGGAAGCUUUCAAAAUGUUUGAAUUCCAUAUCUGGGACUUUAUUUUUUUGGGGAAAAGCUCAUUCUGAAGUUGAGCAAAAGUUACAGUUCUAUUGUAGGUUAAAACUAUGAUAGUAAGCUUGCUGCAUGUAUCAGGUAAGACAGGCUUUACAUUGAUGUAGUACACCAUAUUGAAGAAAAAAUGUGCUUUCAAAUUUUGCAUAUAGCACUCUCCUGCUUUGUAGUAUCUCAAGUCUGUAGUAAGCAGCCAUAACUUGGUUGUGGCUAUUACAUAUUUGCAUAUAGAGCCAUCAUUAGAAACUUUUUCAGUUCAGGGUAGGCCAAUCUAAAUGCAGUGGGAGGAAUUCUAGUCUGAGGCAAGGCAACUGUAGCAGUAAAUGCUAUAUUCUGCCAGCAAAGUGAAUAAGUAGAAAACAUAGCGGAGUACCUGGCAUGUGGUAGACAGGAUGCUUUCUGGGCUUAAGAAGUCUGAGCUUAAGAGGUAUGAGCUGUUGAGUGUAACUUCUAAAUGUCUAAUUACCUAAAUUGGGCAUUAACUUUGUUUAUAUCUGUUUAAUACUUGCUGGCCUUCUCCUUUUCUAUUAAGGAGAAUGCCCUUCCUACUUCAGAUUGGUCUCUGAAAACUAAUAGUUAUUUUUACCUCCACAAGUUGGUGUUCUGAGAAUGAGAAUCAUAUGGGAGAAGUAGUUGACUCAUUUUCACAAUUGGGCUCUUCUGCUGUCAUAGGCAUU
rnacentral:lncRNA from 1 species